rnacentral:lncRNA from 1 species
CGAGACAGGAAUCGGCAUCUAUCUAAGGAAUUCAAAGGUUCCGGUAUAAAUGAAAGAAAAAGGGGAACGAGAUCGCAAUGAGAUUUUCAUCUCAAAAAGGGGAUAUGGCGAAAUUGGUAGACGCUACGGACUUAAUUGGAUUGAGCCUUGGUAUGGAAACUUACUAAGUGAUAACUUUCAAAUUCAGAGAAACCCUGGAAUUAAUAAAAAUGGGCAAUCCUGAGCCAAAUCACGUUUUCCGAAAACAAACAAAGGUUCAGAAAGCGAAAAUAAAAAGGAUAGGUGCAGAGACUCGAUGGAAGCUGUUCUAACGAAUGGAGUUGAUUGUCUUACAUUGGUAGAGGAAUCCUUCUAUCGAAACUUCAGAAAAGAGGAAGGAUAAACCUGUAUACAUAGAAGAAUUGGUAUGAAUCGAUUCCAUAUUGAAGAAAGAAUCAAAUAUUCAUUGAUCAAAGCAUUCACGCAUAAUCUGAUAGAUCUUUUGAAUAACUGAUGAAAUCGGACGAGAAUAAAGAUAGAGUCCCGUUCUACAUGUCAAUACCGGCAACAAUGAAAUUUAUAGUAAGAGGAAAAUCCGUCGAUUUCAAAAAUCAUGAGGGUUCAAGUCCCUCUAUCCCCAAUUUGCCGCCCUAAUUAUUUCUCGUAUCCUUUUUAUUUAUUUUAUCCUUUUUUCGUUAGCGGUUUAAAAGUACUUAUCUUUCUCAUUCACUACUCUUUAUACAAAUGGAUCUGAGCGGAAAUGUAUCACAUGUCACAUGUGACAUAUAUGAUACAUGUACAAAUGAACAUCUUUGAGCAAGGAAUCCCCAUUUGAAUGAUUCACGAUCGAUAUUUUAAUUCAUAUUGAAACUUAAAAAGUUGUUCUUUUGGUAAAUUCUAGGACCUGGCUGAGGCUUUGUAAUACCCGUUCAAUUGACAUAUACCCACGUUCUCUAGUAAAAUGAAAAUGAGGAUGAGACAUCAGGAAUAGUCGGGAUAGCUCAGUUGGUAGAGCAGAGGACUGAAAAUCCUCGUGUCACCAGUUCAAAUCUGGUUCCUGACACAUGAUUAAUUUGUAUGAGUCUCUAUUCUACCAAUUAAUUGAUAU